UACGGGGGGAGCAAGCGUUGUUCGGAUUUACUGGGCGUAAAGGGCGCGUAGGCGGUCAGCACAAGUCAGUUGUGAAAUCUCCGGGCUUAACUCGGAAAGGUCAACUGAUACUGUGCGACUAGAGUGCAGAAGGGGCAACUGGAAUUCUCGGUGUAGCGGUGAAAUGCGCAGAUAUCAGGAGGAACACCGGUGGCGAAGGCGGGUCUCUGGGCCAUAACUGACGCUGAGAAGCGAAAGCAUGGGGGAGCGAACAGG
rnacentral:rRNA from 1 species